AUACUUACCUGCCUGGGGAGAUACCAUGAUCUUGAAGGUGGUUUUCCCAAGGCAAGGCUUAGCCAUUGCACUCCGAAUGUGCCAAGCCCUGCGAUUUCCCCAAAUGCGGGGAACUCGACUGCAUAAUUUGUGGUAGUGGGGGGCUGCGUUCGCGCUCUCCCCUA
ensembl:snRNA U1 U1 spliceosomal RNA